UGGGGAAUUUUGGACAAUGGGGGAAACCCUGAUCCAGCCAUCCCGCGUGUGCGAUGAAGGCCUUCGGGUCGUAAAGCACUUUUGGCAGGAAAGAAACGUCGCGGGUUAAUACCCCGCGGAACUGACGGUACCUGCAGAAUAAGCACCGGCUAACUACGUGCCAGCAGCCGCGGUAAUACGUAGGGUGCAAGCGUUAAUCGGAAUUACUGGGCGUAAAGCGUGCGCAGGCGGUUCGGAAAGAAAGAUGUGAGAUCCCAGAGCUUAACUUUGGAACUGCAUUUUUAACUACCGGGCUAGAGUGUGUCAGAGGGAGGUGGAAUUCCGCGUGUAGCAGUGAAAUGCGUAGAUAUGCGGAGGAACACCGAUGGCGAAGGCAGCCUCCUGGGAUAACACUGACGCUCAUGCACGAAAGCGUGGGGAGCAAACAGGAUUAGAUACCCUGGUAGUCCACGCCCUAAACGAUGUCAACUAGCUGUUGGGGUCUUCGGACCUUGGUAGCGCAGCUAACGCGUGAAGUUGACCGCCUGGGGAGUACGGUCGCAAGAUUAAAACUCAAAGGAAUU
rnacentral:rRNA from 1 species